GAGUCCGGCAAAGUUUUAAAAUGAUGACGUAUUUUAUUAACUCUAACGGCACUGGCGGGUGACUGAAAAUACUAGUGCUGUGUAUGCGGGAUAGACAUUAUUUUCCUGCCCUACAUGAGGGGCUCGUGCGCGGAACGACAUGGGCAGCCCCGGCGGAAACUGCAGGCACAAGCCGGGACGCCGCGGGUUUAAAACAUGCGCGUGAGAGGAAGACAAACAUAAAGAUGAAGUGCUUAAUUCAAGGUCACACAAUGUCGGGGAUGGACCUCCAGAUUUCCUUACUGACCUGCAUUAUCUUGUGGAUACCUGAGUGAAUUCCACACCACCCAUUUUAUAGAUGAAACCACUGAGACAUGGAGCAAUUGACUGAGUAGUCACUGCCCCACCCCUGCCUGGAGCCUCACACAUGACUCGCCUCCUCUCAGUGACCACAGGUUGGUUGAGGGGUUUAACAAGGCUAAGAAGGUGAGACGUGGUCUUGUAACACAGUGGUUAAGAAUGUGACUUUGGAGCCAGCCUGCUAGGGGCUGAAUUCUGACUCAGCCAUUUACUAACUGUGUGACCUUAGGGAGGAGGACCUGGUUGAUAGAAGAAUUUAUCUCGUAGUCUUAACAUCCACUGUAAUUCCAAACUUUGAGGACGAUAGAGAUCAGUGGGCUUUGACUGCCCAGCAUGCAGUCUCCAUUCUUAGGUGGGUUCCCAAGCCUGUAAAAUGUAAGCCUUAUGCUGCUGAGGGCCAUCUUGCCACCCUGAGGGAAACGCUGCCUGAGAAUGAAACAAGCAUAAGUAAAAGCUGAGCUGUGAGAUGGAGCAAGAUGAAGGCCACAUGACAUCUUUGGAGCACCUGGAUCUAACUGUGCCUUAAGCUAGUCUAACCCUGAACAUUUCAUCAUUUCAUUGACAUGAGCCCAGGUUUUCUUUUUUUUUGGAUGGAGUCUUGCUCUGUCGCCCAGGCUGGAGUGCAGUAGCUCAAUCUCGGCUCACUGCAAGCUCCACCUCCCGGGUUCACGCCAUUCUCCUGCCUUAGCCUCCCAAGUAGCUGGGACAACAGGCGCCCACCACCACUCCCAGCUAAUUUUUUGUAUUUUUAGUAGAGACGGGGUUUUACCAUGUUAGCCGGGAUGGUCUUGAUCUCCUGACCUCAUGAUCCGCCCGCCUCGGCCUCCCAAAGUGCUGGGAUUACAGGUGUGAGCCACUGCACCCAGCCCUCAGGUUUUCCCUUUUUUUACCCCUCCUUUUGAAAAUUUGAUGUGGAAUUUUGCCACCUGCAGCCAGAAGAGUUUUAACUAAUCAGUGCCAUAAAUUUUAUAUAGUUCUCCUUGCAAAAUGUGGAUCAGCCUUUCUCAGCAAAUCCUUUGUCAUAAAGUGCUGAAUUGUAAGUUUGUCAUGAGAAUCACAUGAGAUCAUGCAUGUGAAGAACCUGGCAUUAUCCUCCUCAUAGAAAAAAACCAGUAAAUAUUAACUACAGGAAGCAAGGAAGGAGUGGGGUGAGGGGAAGAAGAAGGGGUACUGAUUUAAAAGAACCCUGGAGUCCUAAGGAUAAUCUAGGAACCCUCAGACCCAAUCCGAUACCCCUAUUCUAAAUGCUCCUAGUGCCCUGUACCUUCCCCUCAUAAGCCUUCAUUAUCAUUGUAAUGAUAUGUUUAUGUAAUAUUUUGAUUAAUGUCUCUCCUUCACUGACCUAGCAGUUCUAGCAGGGCAGUGAUUUUGCUGUGUUGCAUCCCCAGCACCUAGUCUGGUAUGUGGCAUUCAGCAUAUGUUUAUUGAAUGAAUGGCCAUGUGGUUAUUCAGAUCCUCCUUGAUUAUUGGGGUUAGGAUUGUGGCAGAAGUGGCAAAAUCAGGGAGAGUAGUCCCUGUCCCCUCUGUAUCUUAUACACUGCCCACACUCCCAACACACAUACACAUACAGAGAAUUUUGUCUCAAUUAGAUAAUUAACUUCUGCUUGGUUGUAAACCAAACCACUGGUUCUUAAACUUUCAUUGGAUCAUUUUAUUGAAGAAUUAAAUAGUGUGGUUCUGGCCUAAUGUCUGGAAAGCCUUGCAGAGGAGUGGAUUAGGUCUUUGUGAUAAACAGGCAGCCUUCCCUGCUCCUGUGUCUUUAUAAAAUCUAUUUAACUGGAGUAGUCCACCCUCCCUCAGGCUCUUACAGGAAUAUGUUGGAGGCUGUAGGAAGGUGGGAAACCGAGAGGGAAAGGACUGGGCCGCUGGAGACUUCACUCAUUCCCUAGCAAGAAACAAAAGCAGUAAAAGGUGGCCCGAGGACAACCUGAAGCUCACUCCUUCAGCACUUUUGGCUGGAGGUCACUUGUUGGAGCCCCACUCAGAGCUCAGCACACCACCCCACCAGCAGCCUCCUCCUCCCAGCUGAGGCUGCAUUUCAUCCCUUCCCCCAGCCUGCUUUCCCUGAGAUAGGGGAGUGUUUCCCAGGGCCCAUGUGACUUCCACUGGCAAGUGACGAUUACCAAUGGUUUACUAGUCAGUGAAACUACCAAAGGCUUUUGUGCUGUAGUAAUCCUUUUCCUGUUUAAAACUCUGGGGAUUUUCUAAUGUUGCCAAUAGUUUUUCAAGUCAGCAAUUACUGUGUGGAUUAUGUAAUGGCUCGGUAUUAAAAA
ensembl:lncRNA PCBP1-AS1 PCBP1 antisense RNA 1